AGUGGAAGACAAUGCCUGCAUUUAUGGUUAACUAUAAGUGAUACACUAGGAAGAUGAUGGUAUUCAGAUACACACAAAUAAUUUGAUUCAGACAGAUUGGAUACAAGAUUUCAACCAGCAUAAGGAGAACAGGGACACAGCACCAAACCCUGACCUCUCUGCCAAGGGUACAAGAUGAGGUUUCCUGAGGUGGUACCAUGGGGGAGAUUUCAGGACAGUUUUGGAAGACUACACAGAGAACAACUUGGAUCCCAGUGCGAAUGAACAGACCUGAUUUACAAGAUUCUGAUACCUGCUGGUCAUAUGCUGGCCAUCCCUCAAGAUGGCAGACAAGUUGCAGAAGUGGGAAUUGCAAAUAAGUAAGAGUUUGUCCUGUUGUUGUCCCCCAGCUCUAUGUGCAGAAAGGGAGAAACCUACAGGGUUCAUGUGGCAGCUCCUCUUCCCAGCCCAGGGAAAGAUUGACUACUUGGGAAAUGGAAAUUCAAAUGUUCUUUGACAUUUCUGUGGACUUGUUUCUUGACAUGAUGACCCAUAUUGCAUGGUGCUAGAUGAGAAAAAGGUUAAUUUGCUGGAGGAAAUCAUGUCUGUGCCAGAGAAGGUCAGCUUGCUCCAUCAUCAUGUACUGCUGUCAGAAGCUGACCUGGACUCAUACAACUUGGUUGAAUGGAAAAAUUAGACAUUUUGAUUUUUUUCAGCAUAGUGCUUGCAGAAUUUCUGUUUUCUCCAAGGGUUUUCAGACCUUCACCAGAAAGGAAGGACUGUAUGACCCAUUUCAGUUACUCUGAUGUCUCAUUACCCAGUUCAGCAUCAAUAACCCAAUCUCGUUUCGAAUGAUGUAAAAUUUCUGAUAGCUGAUUAUUGCAUUCUAAAACUACUAAUUUAAUCCUAAAUUGUGCCAGACUCAUGCUUUCUCCAAUCCUCCACAUGACCACGGGCCAAAACAACCCGUGAUAUAUCACAGAAUAGCUUAAGUGCUGCUUAAGUUGCUGUGGUUAGCACAGUUCCUUGGAACUAUGUUGCUGGCCCAUGACCAGGCAAGGUGCUGGAUGCUCCCAGCUCACCACUCCUGCUCUUGCCAUGACCACCCCACGAAGGCUGAAUGCUUGAAACUCACAGUGCCAUCAAUGGGAGUAGUAAUUCUGAAGAGCACCUCUAAGACCCUGCCCCCUAGUAAAUUGAUGGUGUUAGGAAUAGUAAAUGAGCGAGUGAAUAAGUAAGAUGGUCUGAGAAGAAAUAAGAUAUUUCAAGUGGCACCCUACCAGCAAAUGCUCUAGACAUCUGUGGUCUAGACUUGAGGUAAAAACAUGGCAUCAAAUGCAAAUCUUAGUGACAUAAUGAGCGAAAUCCUGUUAGCCUUACUCAGUAACUUCAGUGAGACUAUCUGUACAGGAUAAGGCCAGGAGGAUUUGGCCCAAAAAUGAUUUCAUGGCACACUGGUGGAAUCAAUUGCAUGAUAAUAGCACUUUAUCAAAAACUGAUAAAGAAUUGCUUCUCCAACAGAACAUGUUUAUGUUAAAUGUAACAGAGGCUGUAUGUCUAUUGACUGUAUCUAUCUACCUGUCUAUUAUGCACCCAGCACCCACAGUAUCUGAACACAGCAAAAUGAUUUAGCAUACUGGCAAACUAAAAGACUAUAUUCGUCACCCUUUCCUUGUAUGCUCCACGGAGUGUUCUUGACUUUUCCAUUCCAUAUACUUAUUUAUUUGCCUUUCCUCUCAUCUAUUUAUGUUCAUACAACAUGAUCAUCACAUGACUUCUGAGCAUCUAUUUUGUAUCUUAUUCUAUCUUCAGGAAUGAGAGUAUGGACUGUCCUUGGAAUGUUACAGGGGGAAAGCUAUUAUCAAGAGAGGUGAUCAAAUAUUGUAACUACAUUUUUGUUUAGUUAAUUACAUUUUGCAAUGUUGUAUUGAGGUUAAAAACUGGUGUUACUUGAACAUAUUAUGUAUAUCCUACCCAUAGUCAUUGUAUUGACUAUUUUAAUCAUUUUUAUUAUUGCUAUACAGUAUUAAAUUAUGGCAUCAGUGAUAUCACUGUUAUGUUUUGUUCCUCUUCUCAGUUGAGCAGUUUGGGAUAGAUUAUUUCAUAUUAUUUUGCUUUAAGAUAAAGCUCCACUCCUGCAAAUCCUUACUGGUACGCUUAGCCAUAGACUUCAAUAGGGUGAGCAGACUUUCACGGCACAACUUUUGGGAAUAAAUUACUCACAUUGGUUUGCAGGACUGGUCCCCAAGAGUCUGUCUUAUGAACUAAACUUCUAGGAGUUCAGCUAAAAUCUUGGUAAAACGUGAGCUGUAACAUAACAUCCAUAUAUGACAAUGUCCAGUCCAGUUAUGUAAAUUCAUAUAUUAAGUGCAACUAAUUCAAAUAAGAUGUUCAAGAGUAUAUUAAAUCAGUUAAAGCAUAAAGGAAAUUCUAAUAUUCAAAUUACAAUCUGACAGCACUUCGGCUCCAGUUCAUGUAAGCAAACCUAUUCAGGGCAGAACUUAAGCACAUGCUGGGACUUAAGUACCUACUUAAGUGCUUUCCUGAACCAAGACCUGGAUGUUUUAAUGAAGAGUGACCUCUUAAACCAGGGGCCACAAAGCAUUGCAGAUUAAAAGGAGCUUCAUAAAUGUGCAGUUCAUAAAAUUUGGGGACUACUGUAUAUUCUCAUUGCCUGGAGCGAUGAAUACACACAAUUUCCAUUAAAACCAAUGGGAUAAUUGUAUAUUGAUACAUCUGGGUGUAGGUUGGAAGGGAUACCUGCCAUUGCUGGGAGAGGUGGCUGAUGCUCCAUUGUAUUUCAGCAUUAUCUUAAUUUUUGGAAGUGGUGAACCAUUUUUGCUGCAUUGUAGCCUGGGAACUGGAAAUGCUGCUCACAACCCUCAGGCAAAGAAAGGGCCUGCUAUGGCAUUCUUACUUUUAAACCUAAGUAGGCAGUAGGGUUAAAGAACUGGCUUCAACCUUGGCCUGCUCGUAAGCCUAAGACCCUACUCUAUGCAGUAACUCCGAAUUUCUAUUGUCACACUGGGGCAAAGGGUUCAUCAAAAUCAUAGUUUUGAUGAGACUAUUUUUGUUAUUUGACUGCUUUCUUAUUCUAGGUCUGAUUUACUGGAUCUGACUCUUUUAUAUGGUUUGCUGAUUGAUGUC